GGCAUGAUGCAGGUUUGAAAUGGGUUCUAUUUUUCCAAGAUACCAACGGCCUGCUCUUUAGGGCAAUACCGUCAGCACUUGGGGUUAGUUCCACCAAGGAGUACCAUGUUAAUUCUCUUGCUGUUCCUCGCAAAGCAAAAGAAGCUAUUGGGGGCAUUACCAAACUUACUCAUGCUGAUGGGAGAACAAUGGUGAUUAAUGUUGAAUAUAAUCAACUUGAUCCUCUACUUCGAGCAACUGGUCAUCCUGAAGGAGAUGUCAACUCGGAAACAGGCUAUUCUCCAUUUCCUGGAAAUAUUAACCAGUUGAUUUUGAACCUUGGUCCUUACAUUGAAGAGCUCACCAGAACGCAAGGUGCCAUACCGGAGUUUGUAAAUCCUAAGUA